UAACUGCGCGUCAUAGUGUGAACUGCAGGACACAUUUGAACAUCGACAUUUCGAACGCACAUUGCGGUCCGUGGAGAAACAUCCAGGACCACUCCUGUCUGAGGGCCGGCUGUAUAAAAACAAACUCCACAUUGUUCACGAACGCGCUUUGGGAACAUUUGACGGUUCCGCGCGGACCCUGAACAGGGGAAGCGAUCGGUCCGUUCAAAAAUACUUUUUCACUCGCUCGUUUGAUUUCGAUCGUACUUGUCGUACGCGUCGUCCGAGAGCGCCGCAAGAGCCACCACGCUCCUGUGACCCUUCGACGUGCGUGCCAACAAUUUUGUGAUACGCGUUUUCGCGCUUCACGUUGUGCGGCGUUUGCGCUAAGAGGGCGAGCAUGGUCGCAAACGGUGUGUGUAUCUUGUGAGACUCUUGACGCGUGACUGGCGUACGAUCUCUUAUUCAAAUUAUACGAGAGAGAUUAAGAAGUAGGCGGACUCGACGUCCGAAGUGCGUUUCGACGCCGUCUUCGCAUUCGUGCGACAGCACGGCGUCGUAUCGCUGACGGAUAUCGCGUCUGCCUCGAUUUUUUAUCGUUGGCCUCAGAUCAGGGAGGAUCACCCGCCGAAUUUAA
rnacentral:rRNA from 1 species